CAAGAAUUCUAUGAGAGAGCUCGAGGAGGAGGGAAUGAAACACUUGAGACAGUCCUGUAACAAUGGACUGCAAUGACAAGCCAUUUCUUCUUUUCCUUCAGUUAAACAAACCAUUUAAUAAGUCAGAAUGCAAUACCCACGGUGGUGCGGUCACAAUGCCCGGGCCCUGUGCUCUGUGGGUCACUAGGCCUGAGACUACUACACAGGCAUAGAGUCCAAGAAAGGGGACGAUCUUCCGUUUUCAAACCGGAUGGGCACAGAGCUGACGCAUCAUGUCUCUGACUUUGUCACAAGCUGGAGCUCCUGUCCCACUAGGCUACUUGCUACAAAACUCAGACAGGCACCCAUGUCCAUCAAGAACAAGAGAGCAUCAGGUCUUCAGGCCUUCACCCGUCACCCUCCUCUCCCCGACAAGGCCACCACCCUCGCCUCCUUGCUUCAUAAAGACCGCUGCAGGACUGGGAACGACUGGACUGAUCCAGAUCCAUUCAGAAAUGCUCACUCCGUCCUCCUGGACCCAGAGGCUCGCCUUGAAAGGCUGACUGUCUCGCGUUAAACUGAGUGUCCUGAUGCCCGAUGCAAAGCAAGAAAGUCAGAACAGUUGCCCGUUAACCAAGCAUUAAUGAGCUAAAUUCCUGGUGCUCUCAGUCUGAGGAGGAAAGCCAACAUCAUGAGAAUAUGAACAUAGUCACUAAUGA